AAGUCUUUCAAAUUUAAAUGGACAACUGAGUUUGUGGGAAGUGCCUUAGCGCUCAAACCAGUCAAAGGGUUGAGAUCUUUUGUUAUGCCAACCCGUGACCAAAUGGUUUGAUGCUCAAGGCUCCAGCUGGGAUUUCAUGAUACGUUAUCCUAUGUAUAGCUGGUCCCUGUGUGAUUCAAAGACCAGUCGCUAUCGGCUAUGUCAAGGUCCACUAAUGGACUGAGUAAGAGGGUUUGAAACCUCUUUGCUCCCUGUUUUGAAUCAUUCAUGUUUUAGGAAAGGGUUAUUUGUCUUAUUGAGAUUGCUUGUGUCAUCUCUGUGUUUGGACACAUCACUUUCAGUAUGGGAGCCAAACACUUCUGUCCAAACCUUUCUGAAACAUGUUGAGGUCAGCUUGCAUCAUCUUUGAUGCCUUGUUGGCCUAUAUAUAUCUAUAGCUUUGGCUUUGCUCAAUGGUUGUGGAAAACUGCCUUAUUGCGUUUUCUUUGUUGAGUCUAGUUUUUAGCUUGCAUUGUUCAUGCUGCUCUAAGUCUUCUUCGUGACUGUAAACCUUAGAGCUUGAACUCAAAACUUCUUUCAUCAACUCAUAUCAUGUUGCAUACCAUAAGGGAUGUGUAGUGCAACCAACCCAAGAAGCGUUCAAGGUUGAAUCUGCUAGUGGUUAGCUGAAUUCACGAACAAGGCUUCGAAAAGUGUAAGAACUUAGAAACAAGAGAGGGAAUAGGUCUAGACUAAUUCGGGACUAGGAAGGAUAGCAUUGUGGUAGUGUAUCACUAGAACUAUUAUUCUUGUAAGAAGUUACUUCAACUUAGUGGAAGUUUUUGUCUCUCAAGAGUUAGAGACACGCAGUUUUUCUCCCUGCAUUCAGGGUUUCUGCGAGAAAAAAACAUCCUUGUGUUGUUUCUUUAUUUGCUGCAAUUUACUUUCUGUAAACUCGUAUCCUGUGAUUCUGGGAUAGCACAAGUCAUUGCUAUCCUUGGAUACAGAAGACAACAAAAAUUUCAAAAA
rnacentral:lncRNA from 1 species